UUUCCGUAGGUGAACCUGCGGAAGGAUCAUUAUUGAAAAAGACAAGACGCCCCGUUUUUCCGUAAAAUGGGUUCAAUACCCACAACCGUGUAUACCUUACCUUUUGUUGCUUUGGCAGGCCGCCUCCGGGCGUUGGCUUCGGCUGACAGCGCCUGCCAGAGGACCCAAACUCUGUGUUUAGUGAUGUCUGAGUAAUAUAUAAUAUUUUAAAACUUUCAACAACGGAUCUCUUGGUUCUG
rnacentral:misc_RNA from 1 species